AUGAACGCUGGCGGCGUGCCUAACACCUGCCAGUCGAACGGAGUCGUUUUGGAAAUCUCUUCGGAGAUGGAAUUCUCGACUUAGUGGCGGACGGGUGAGUAACGCGUGAGCAAUCUGCCUUUAAGAGGGGGAUAACAGUCGGAAACGGCUGCUAAUACCGCAUAAAGCAUUAAAUUCGCAUGUUUUUGAUGCCAAAGGAGCAAUCCGCUUUUAGAUGAGCUCGCGUCUGAUUAGCUAGUUGGCGGGGUAACGGCCCACCAAGGCGACGAUCAGUAGCCGGACUGAGAGGUUGAACGGCCACAUUGGGACUGAGACACGGCCCAGACUCCUACGGGAGGCAGCAGUGGGGAAUAUUGCGCAAUGGGGGAAACCCUGACGCAGCAACGCCGCGUGAUUGAAGAAGGCCUUCGGGUUGUAAAGAUCUUUAAUCAGGGACGAAACAAAUGACGGUACCUGAAGAAUAAGCUCCGGCUAACUACGUG
rnacentral:rRNA from 1 species